CUUUUAACCGGGGGUAAACCCCCCGGGGUUAAAAACCCCGGGGGUUAAAACCCCGGUUAAAACCCCCGGGGGAAAAACCCGGGGGUAAAACCCCGGGGGGGGUUUAAAAACGGGGUUA
rnacentral:ncRNA from 11 species